rnacentral:snoRNA from 1 species
AUCAUUUUGUGACUCGUAGGCAUGACGGGUGUUCGAGCCAUUGUGUGAGAUGGGCCUCCCUCUACACCCUCUUGUACAUCUGCACAUUGCUAGUCCGAUG